UGUAGGAGUGAGCCUGCUCGCGAUAGCGCUCUUUCAGACACAUUAAUGCUGACUGACACACCGCUAUCGCGAGCAGGCUCACUCCUACA
rnacentral:antisense_RNA from 1 species